ACCUAGGAAGUGGUAUGGGCCCACGGCUAGAAUCUCCAUUUCCUACCAAUCAAGCCGCAACAGCUGCGGCGUCAAGGAGCUCAGCUAGGGCAGUAUUCCACAAGAGCACACCUAGGACUUUGCUCAUGGCGGAUUCCAGUCAGGUUUCCGUACCCUUCAUGGUGGAGGAUCUGAAUUUAAAUAUGCCUCAGCCCGAGCUUCCUGCUCCAGCUCCAGCUCCAGCUCCCACUCCUGACCCUAUUCAAUCUGAACCUGGACAUCAAGCUCCAGCUCGCACUCCUGACCCUGUUCAAUCUGAACCUGGACAUCAAGCUCCAGCUCGCACUCCUGAACCUGUAGCUGAACCUGGACAUCAAGCUCCAGCUCUCACUGCUGAACCUGGACAUCAAGCUCCUGCUUUGGCUCUUUCUCUUGCUCCUGUUGCUGCUCCGGAUUCCUCAUCUCCCGCCAGUAAUCCACAACAAAUAAAGCACAAGAAUCGUUUGCAAGAGUACACCCAGCGUGCAUGUCUUCCAUUGCCAAUCUAUCAAACUGUUAAUCUAGGAUCACAACAUGAACCAAAAUUUUGGUCGACUGUGCUGGUUGAUGGAGCAACAUAUUCUUCCUCAAAUACUUUUUCACAUCGAAAAGCGGCUGAACAGGAUGCUGCUAGGCUUGCCCUAGAAUUUAUACCAGAAAAAAUAAAGUUUGAGGGCCCUCCUAUAAUUUGUGAGGAUACAACGUUUUGCAAAUCCAUCCUCAAUGAAUAUGCUGUCAAAAUGAAUUUGGACAUGCCUGCUUACAACACUGUUCAGCCACAUGGAUCGCUUCCUUCUUUUGUCUCUUCUCUGGUUUUCAAUGGUGUAUCUUAUACUGGCAAUACUGGGAAAAACAAGAAAGAAGCAGAGCAAUUGGCAGCACGUGCCGUUAUUCUCUCUUUGUUGGGUGAUAAUAGGACGGGAACAAUUCUGUAUGAAAUCAUAAAGUCGAAAGACAAACUAUAUGCUGCCUUUCAUAAAGGCAAGAACUUCCAGACUCAUCACAACUCUACGCUUCAUGGAGGAAGUACAGGACCUGAUUAUGGGAUGCCGGUUACCCAAGACAGAGAAGUUGAAGCAUUUGUAAUUCCUGGGGCAAGUUUGGAGGCUAAUCAGCCCCACUAUGAAACUAUGAAGCGAAAACCAGAGCCACCUUUUGAACCCAACCCUCUCCCAAUAACCAUUGUGCCUCCAUUUUCAGCCCAGACUCUAGGAGAUGGUCCAAGUCAUGCAAAAAAGCGGCGAAAGAACAAGAAAAAAGCAAACAAGAAAAUACAGAAUGGUGAUGAGGAGGCAGAGAUAUUGGACAUGCAGUUUGUGAACAUUCCUUGACAAUUUGUUGGCGGUACAGAUCGAGAGCAACAUUAGGGCAUUUGAAAGAUUGGAAUCGGCUUUGCCCUGCCUAGUUUUGUAUUUUGAUUGUCUCUUUCUUCAUUUCCUUUGAGCCAAGCCCCACAUUGUUCGGUAGCCCAAUGAACGGAGUUGCAAGUCUAAUUUGCAAUUUUUGCAGGAUUCAAGUCUAAUUUGCAAUUUUUACUGGAUUGUGUUCUGUUUUGUGGUUAACAUUGCCCCAUGUAAAAAAAAAAUAAGGGGGUUUUAAGGAUGUUUGGCAUAUGUAACAUAAAUAACUUUUUCUGUGUUGUGGCUGAAAAUUCACCAAAACUGGGAGAGUUUUGAUAAUUUCUUUGAGCUACCUGUAUCAUCCACCAAUGGAGCAACUUAUUAUUGUGUAGGGUUUAUAUCUCAACA